GGCGGCGUGCCUAAUACAUGCAAGUCGAGCGAGCGGAACUAACAGAUUUACCUCGGUAAUGACGUUAGGAAAGCGAGCGGCGGAUGGGUGAGUAACACGUGGGGAACCUGCCCCAUAGUCUGGGAUACCACUUGGAAACAGGUGCUAAUACCGGAUAAGAAAGCAGAUCGCAUGAUCAGCUUUUAAAAAAGGCGGCGUAAGCUGUCGCUAUGGGGGUGGCCCCGCGGUGCAUUAGCUAGUUGGUAAGGGUAAAAGGGCUUACCAAGGCGAUGAUGCAUAGCCGAGUUGAGAGACUGAUCGGCCACAUUGGGACUGAGACACGGCCCAAACUCCUACGGGAGGCAGCAGUAGGGAAUCUUCCACAAUGGACGCAAGUCUGAUGGAGCAACGCCGCGUGAGUGAAGAAGGUUUUCGGAUCGUAAAGCUCUGUUGUUGGUGAAGAAGGAUAGAGGUAGUAACUGGCCUUUAUUUGACGGUAAUCAACCAGAAAAGUCACGGGCUAACUACGUGCCCAGCAGCCGGGGUAAAU
rnacentral:rRNA from 1 species